GUCAACAACUACCAAAGGUGUGUUCUAUUUAGUCAAGUCCAUACUAAAAUCCCAGAGUUUCUUUGCCAAUUCCAUCCCAACACGACAGGACAUGA